AUUUUAUUUUGAAGUCUCAUGUGAGUGACUACGUGAAGAGCCCGCCAGCACGCAUGUGCGCCAAUACGUCGACGCAUGUAGCGCGAGUCGGAGCAGUUCGAAAUUGCUCUGGCAGGACGGUCCGCCCCUUCUUGCGCCCUCGCGUCAUUACUGGAGUUGAUGGAGGCUCUGAAUGGCUGGCGGACAUCUCCAACCGGACACAAUUUUUGGAGGGGAUUGGGUCGGAGACCCGAGCCGAAGCAGCCCAGCGUCGGAGAUCCAGCCCAGCCCAGCCCAGAGUCGGAGAUGUUGACAAUGUCACCAAAUGGAAAGCGGAGACUCUGAUCCCGGCAGAGGAGAACGACCAGCACCUGCUAUGGCAUCUACAAUGGAUGGUUCUCUUGGCACUUUGAAAGGGAGGAAAAUGCAUAGCGUCGCUGACAUGUUGUGGAUGAGUGGAAUUGCUGGCCAGUUAAUAUGUUUCAUUCUGUUAAGGCUUCUUCAGAUCCCUCAAAUCUGAUUUCCCUAAACUCAUAAAAUCAUCUGUACGGUGUGCUGUUUCUUGGCUCCUUCUAGCUGUAACUUUGAAUAAUUUCUGUAUUGUCUUAUUUCCAUUCUAUAUAUAAUGCCAUCAGCUCAUGUGUAUAACUUGUGUUUAUCAUCUGAUAAAUAAACCAUAGAAUAAUAUUGACCUGCAUCACCCAGGAAGCUAUUCACCUUAUUGUGUUGAGGUUGCAUUUUGCUAACACACAUCAAAACCAACCACCGUGGUCCAGCUCUCUCUCCAAAACCCUCUUUCUACCUUUGUUUUGGGUAUUUAUUGACUCUUUUCCGAUGCAAUCACAUUAAAAAAAUGUUUCUUGUUCCAAUUUACCUAACUAAAAUAUUGUUUUUCAUUUGUUUAAUAAUCUCAGAAAAAGCUAGCAUUUAUUAGUCUAAUAACAACUGGCAUUCUAAGUAAUUUCAGAGUGAAUCACUUUGGUGGGUCUAAGGUUAGAUAUAGGUCAGACAGGUUAGUAUUCCUCUAGUACUUUCUGUGACCAGGUGCAUUUUACAAAAGUCUGGUAGGUUGGUGAUGUUCAUUACUCAUGGCUGUUUUGUUUUUAAAUACCCAGUCAUUAACUGAUCUUAAAUUACAUUGCUGCCCGGGUGAGAUUUGAACUCAACUUUCUGCAUUGGUAGUCCAGUCCUCUGGAUUAUUUGUCUCUUAACUAUCUUCUGCACUACCAUUAUGUCCUAAUUAUGCAAUCAUCCUUGUAACGUUGAUGGAUUUUAUGGGGCACAUAUACUAGAAUUAUUUAGGCAUACCUUAGACAAGCUUGAGUAUAACAACCCUGCAUAGAGUGUAAUUUAAAAUACCGAUAAGACCAGGGACUGCUUGUUGCCUGCUGCUGUCACAUAUAAACUACACAGGCAUUGUUCAACAUCAUAGGGUACUACACACAGCUGGAAUAAUCUCAACUGCAGUGAGCUAUGGCUCAAUAAUGAUUUUAACAAAGAUAAUUUUGUUGAGCAACUUUCUGCUUCUGGGUUUCAUUUGCAGUGAUUCCUGAUCUGAUUUAAAUUGACAUGAGGUUGUUUUCCAGCAUUUAUGUUUCAAGGCAAGUGGUAUUUUCCAAAAUUAUUUCCAUCCCCUCAAAUACCCAAGGACUGAUUUUAAAACCCGGCCAUUGUUGUUUAGUCUUUCUUUCUGUGGGGUGCAUAGUGAGAAAUUGUGCUUUGUGAACUCAUUUUCUGAUUGUUGGGGACCGAAAUUGCAAGCAAACAUUUGCUUGGUGUUAUUCCAGUUACAUGGCAUGCACAAAGCUAAUGACUAGUAAAUGUAUCCAAACUAGGCAGAUCAUGAUAUCAAUCAACACACAAUGAUAAUAAACUACCAGAGCAAAAGAUUUUAGCUCCGUGUGCCCGCCAACAGCUUUGCUGAACAUUGUGCUGCUGAAGUCUCAUUUAUUAUCAAGAUUGACACCCAUCAAUAGUAUGUAAAGAUAUCAUCAAAUACAUGGUUGGUGCUGAUUGAUUUGUUCUAAUUGUUGAUCUGGUUCUACAAGUGCUUGGAGCUUUCAAGUUGAUUCAAGUUAUAAGAAUCUACAGGGAGUGGUGCAUCUAGUGCUAAAGGACCUUUUACUGAGUUCAGAGCUACUGAACAAACUAGUUAUUGCAAGACCAUAUGACAUAAUUUGGAGAAGAUAUGAGGAGCAGAAUAAUAUGCAGGAAGAUGGAUGAGGAUGAGAGGGAAAGGGGCUCAAUAAGCUCUGUCUUAAAGCUUAUUUCUUCAAAAGAGAUGCAUGUAGGUAGUUUAAGACUGCACUGUGCAAAGCUUCCAAUCUGAUUAAAAUCUCAAUGGCAUGCUAUAUGCUUAUUUCAAAGAAGACCAAUAGAUCCUCCUGUACACCGAUCUUCCUAACACAACACGGCGUGGAAGGUAAUUGUAAUCCCCAAAGAUUUCAUUGUGUUGUUGGAUGUAGAAGCAAAAUAAACAAAAUAGAGUUAUAAACUGGACAUCCUUUAUUAAUAGCUAUAGUUCUCAAUUAAUCUGUGGUGUCCCAGUACAACACUGUAUCAAGCAUCAUACCAUGUGAAACAACGGAAGUCUUAACGGUAUUUACACACUCCCAUCUUGAUGGUACCUGCUUGAAAGCUGAUAACUGUCACAUUGCAGAUACAAGAAUGUUCUGCUAAUAAUUGCCAGAGCCAACUGGCAAAGAGAGUGUAGGAGCUGGGCAUUGAAUGUUAUUGAACUAUAUGAAAUUGAUAAACAUCCUUGAAUUAUACCUGUAACUUGCACCUUUGGGAAACAGAUCAAUUUCCUAAACUUCAGGCAUUCAAUCUAAAAGAAAACAUGAAAAUAGCUUUAUUUUUUGCAUUCAGUUAUCACCUUAGACAAUGUGCUUACGAUCACAAUGGCUCCCAAGAAGCGACUUGCUGUAAACUUGCUGUAAAUCAAUAUGUUGAAACUAAAUAGACACAAAAUGCUAAAGUAAC